AUUGAACGCUGGCGGCAGGCCUAACACAUGCAAGUCGAGCGAGCGGCGGACGGGUGAGUAAUGUAUGGGGAACUGCCCGAUAGAGGGGGAAAACUACUGGAAACGGUGGCUAAUACCGCAUACUAUCGGAUGAACCCACAUGGGAUUAGCUAGUAGGUGGGGUAAAGGCUCACCUAGGCGACGAUCCCUAGCUGGUCUGAGAGGAUGAGCAGCCAAACUGGAGCUGAGACACGGCCCAGACUCGUACAGGAGGCAGCAGGGGGGAAUAUUGCACAAUGGGCGCUAGCCUGAGGCAGCCAUGCCGCGUGUAUGAAGAAGGCCUUAGGGUUGUAAAGUACUUUCAGCGGGGAGGCGUUACCCGCAGAAGAAGCACCGGCUAACUCCGUGCCAGCAGCCGCGGUAAUUC
rnacentral:rRNA from 1 species